CGUAACAUAGUAGGUGUACUGGAAAGUGUACCUAGAUUA
rnacentral:rRNA from 1 species